UAGCUCAGUUGGUAGAGCAGGGGAUUGAAAAUCCCCGUGUCGGCGGUUCGAUUCCGUCCCUGGGCACCA
rnacentral:tRNA from 1 species